rnacentral:rRNA from 1 species
UACGUAGGGUGCGAGCGUUAAUCGGAAUUACUGGGCGUAAAGUGUGCGCAGGCGGCCGAGCAAGUCGAGUGUGAAAGCCCCGAGCUUAACUUGGGAACUGCGCUCGAAACUACUUGGCUAGAGUGUGGCAGAGGGAGGUGGAAUUCCACGUGUAGCAGUGAAAUGCGUAGAGAUGCGGAGGAAUACCGAUGGCGAAGGCAGCCCCCUGGGACGUCACUGACGCUCAUGCACGAAAGCGUGGGGAGCAAACAGG